rnacentral:lncRNA from 1 species
UGAGUAAAACAAUUUAUUACGUAUUAGUAUUGUUUAAUUUCGAUCUAUUUUCUCUGAGUGUCUAUUCGCACGUUUUUCAUCUAAAUAUUAAUCCUCCUGUUAACUUUUACUGAUUACUGUCGUAUUACGUCAUUUUUAAGUAGUUACAUGGCUUUUCUGAACGAGUUUCUUAAAGUUCACGUGUUGUUCAAACAAGAUCUCCAAGCAAAUAAGAGCUGAUAAAUUUUUCUUAGCUUUUAAGUUGAAUGUUUUAAGUUGUUCUUUUUUUAUUUUAGGAUCAAAAUAGUAGUUUUAAUUAUCAAACUUUUGUUUAUUGUUGGUUGUCGUUUUUUUUUUAUAAUUUAUUUAGUUUGUUUAGAGUCUGUUAAAAAGUUAGUACUAAAAUGACUGGUAAUUUAGCUUUUUUUAUUAUGUUAUUAAUGUUCUCAUGUAAUUACUCCUAGUUAGUACUAAUUACCUGUUAACAAUGCUGCGGAUGGUCUAAAAUAUAAGGUAUGGCCUGAAAAUUAAAAAGAAAAGAAAAGGAUACGUCGUACUUCUCAUUAAGGCUGUGUAGACAAAAAAAAAAAACUUGUAGCAAAACUUUAAACUUUAUUUUAUUAUUCAAAGGUUUUUUUGCUAAAUUUAUUUAUAUAAAUUUAUACGCCAAGGUUGUAAAAAUGAAAAUGUUUUGUACUAAAGGGCGGAUUUGACAUACUUAGCUCUCAGUUACCCGUUUUUCUGGCCCUCUUAUGCUUUGUAAAUUUAAAGUCUUGAUGAAUGGUUGAAAUUCUCUUUUCUAAGUCUUGAAUUUUAAAAAAACGCCGUAAAUGAACGAAAAUAAAAUGAAACGUAAACAAAAUGCCAUGCAACUGCCAUAGCAUUUCUUGCAGCCUUUUUCUUUUUUAAAUAAUUAAUUUGUUUUCAUUUAAUUGAGGCUUUUUCUUUUAAAACAGAUAAACGGAGUAAGAGUUCUAGUGAGUGCACUUUAUUUGCAUGCUUAGGCAAAUAAAGUGCGCGUAUUAUUAUUAUCUUAUUUAUUUUUUUUCACUACGAGAGCAAUACUGUAUUGAAUUAUUUUUUGACUAUUUAUUCAAAAAAUAUAACGGUAAGAUAUAGACGUAUGAUAAAUAGCUGAAUAAGUAUAAAAAUAGGUGUGAGGUUGGUGUGGGGUAGGUGUGGGGCAGAUGUGGGGUAGGUGUGGAGUUUGUUUUAUGUAAGAUUGAUAAGAAGAAUUAUUUGUUAGUAGUUGUAGGAAGCUCGCAGAAGACUUGAGUCAGUCUUGUCAUCGAGUACCUUUUUCUGGACGUGUAAUACACAUAAAAAUUAGUUGCAUACGUGGUAUAUAUGUAUGUUGUACAUAUAUACCUUGUUAUUAAUAUUGUAAUUUUUUAUUGUCGAUUUGUAUUAAAAGUUAAGCUACAUUUUUUUUAACUUUUUUUAUUAAUUUUUUUAAAAAUUCCUAAUAGUUGUUUAAGUUGACUAUUGUAGAUUUUAGCUUUAUUUUCAGAGAGUGUUCGUUGUUUAGGUUUAAUAGUGAUUCGUUUCUGGAAACUAAUUUGUUAAAUAAAUAUGGACCACGAAAUGUAACUGAGAAUUUUGAGAGUCUUGUUGUUUCAAACGGUAUCUUAAAGUUGCCUGUUGCUCUUGCAUUGUAUUUAUUUAUAUUGUUUUUAAAAAAGUGUUCUUUGAAAAAAUCUGAAACCAGAUUUAGUUUAUAUUUAAACAUGAAAAGUAUAUUUUGAAAAAUAUUUAUUUGAAAUAUAUUUAGUGCGUUCAUUUGUUCCAAUAAGGGUUGAGCAUGAGCAAAUUUGUUUUUGUUGUAUACUAGUCUUGAAGCGUGUUUUUGACGUAGGUAGAGUGGUUCUUAUUUAGAUUUGUGGGUACUGUCCCAUACUAUAUUGGUAUACAUCAGGUAGCUAUGUAUGAAUGAAAAGUAUACAUGUUUUAGACUUUUUUGUGACUAAAAUGGUCUUGCCUUGUAUAGAAAACCAAUGUUCUUUGUUAUUUUUGUGUCAAUGUAGUUUAUGUGGGGUUUCCAGGAGAUAUGUUCGUCAAUUAUAACUCCUAAAAAUUUUGUAUUCAGAACUCUUUUGAUGGUUAUACUUUCUAUAUUAUGUGUUGGUAGGUUCAGGGGUAUUUUUUUAAUUUGUUGAUUAGAGUGAAAUAGUACACUCUAAAAACAGUCCGUUAAAAAAAGUAACGGAUUGCGCUUUUUUGUCAAAUUAACGGAUUAAUUCCUCACCAGAAACCAGAAAAUUAACGGAGUAAAAUUAACUAUUUACAGAUUCUUUGAAAUUUCGUUAAUUCAACGGAUUAAAUAUUCUAAUCAGUUAAAAAAAAAUUUCAGUUUUUUAUAUCUUUUUAUUUUGAAAAUGAUAAAGUUUUGAAUGCGUUUUUCUCACAUUUACAUUUACAUCGUAGAUAAAAGUUGAUUGCAGUAAGUGUAAUAUGCCAUUUUUUAAAAGCUUUACAUUUAGUAGACAAAGCAAAUGGAUAAAUAUAAUUUAAAUUACGCUAUGUUAUUUUGAAGGUUAUUUAACUUAUUUUAAAUUUUCUAUAUAAAGCUUUAUACAGAAAAUUUAACAAUAAGGUUUAUUUUAUUUUAAAUUAAAAGCCAUUAGCAUUACUAAAUAAUAUAUAAUAACAUAUAUGGUAAGUUAAUACAUAUAAUAUAUGGUAAGUUACUACAUGUCUAAAUCUAGAAAAUUAUACAAGAAUAUAUGCAAUCCAUAUAGUCUAUAUUAUAGAAAUAAAAGUUCAAUUAAUCCUUUACUAGUAGUAAAGGGUUAGUUGAACAAUUAUUUCUAUAAUAUAGACUAAAUGGAUUAUUUAUAGUCCUGUUUAACCUUAUAUUUUAGACAUAUGACAUGUAGUAACAUACCAUAUCAGUUUAAAUCAGUUGUAAAAUUAAAAAUGUUAACAGUUUGAUAGGUAUAUUUAUUUAGGUUAGUUACAGCUAAGUUUACAUGGCUAGUUAAUAUGCUUUUAUAAAUUGCAAUUUUUAUUAAUUUCCAAAUUAAACAUGUUGCAUCCAAUAUCAUAAACUAAGAUUAUACUGGUGUGUUUAUGUUAUUUUAGAAUUUUUUGUUUUAGACACAUGGCAUUUGUUAUCCCACUGUAAGUUAAAACUAGUUGUAAAAUUAAAAAAUUUAUAUUGGAACUUCUUUUUCUUUUAACAUUCAUGUUUAUUUAUUUAUAUCUUAGAAUUUGCUGCUUUAGAGGCACGGCAUUUAGUGUCACAUUAAUUUACUGUUUUAGGCACGUGGCAUGUGGUAUCCCACUACACUUGGUAUAAGCUGUCAUACUACACGUGGCAUGUGGUAUCCCACUAAUUAGCUAUUUUAAACAUGUGACAAGUGGUAUGAGACUGUAUUGAUGUAUGUGAAAUGUAUUGAGUCUUUCAGUUAUCAGAUAAUGUCAAGGAGUUGACAGCAUGGUGUCCGAUUUAAAGUGCGAAUCUGUGUACGAGUAACAACAGUAUUUAUAACCAAAACCUAUUUAAACCAACCAAACCAAAACUAGCGACCAAAAACAUUGGUUUUUGAUAAACCAAUGUUUUU